GCCCGCUCUCUCUCCCCCCUGUGCCGCGCGACGAGUGGGAGGCGGCCGGGUUUUGUCAACCUGCAAACUACUGGUGACACAGCCGUUCGAGCCGUGGUUGAGCCUCGCCGCCCCACCGCCUUCCUUGCGUGCGCGCCGGCCCUGCCCCCGCUUGCCUCCCUCGCUGCCCUGCCUCUCGCCAGGCCCGACGCGGCGAAGAUGUGGCCGUCGUCGUCCUCGAUGGAGCAGCUGUGGUCGUCCUCCUCCUGGUAAGCUGUUGCCAAAUCCUUAGCCCCUCAUCCAUGCUGUCAUCGCCGAUGUAAGGUUUCCAGUUUCGUACUCCAAUUGUUGCAUUCGCUUGUUUGCAACAUUUCCUUGUGGAAAUGAAGCCUGCCUCUUCCACGAACGAGGCGUCGGAUCUACGACCUUUCUCCGUUUCCGAAUUAGUUUUCCUUCUUUGUUGGAUACGGUUGCUUUUGUUAAGUUGCUACACAUACAAUUUUCCUUUGUUUCUUUGCGCCGCUUAUCCGUUUGUUUAGAUCUGUCAUUUGUUCUCCCUCUUGCUGAACCAGGAGAUUGAAGGGCACCAUUCUUUGAUGUUCGAAUGUUUGAUUCCUUACAGGGAAGAACACAAUAAGCAGCAGCAAUCAGAGAGCAGAAGAAGGGGCGAGCCUGCUUAGAUCUGCAGCAAAAGAGGCACCACAGCAUGCUAAGUUCAUCACCGUUAUGGAAGACGAAGCCUUUGCCUCCACAUCACAAAGCAGUCAUGCCUAGCUUACAGCCUUACAAAAAAAAUGGACCCUACCCACACUUGAGAUUUGACCAAUGUCCACUUGCUGCUACUAAAUUAAUUAUUUCGCAUUGCCAACGGUAUUGCUACAAUCUUCUUUACUGAAAAUUUAGCUACAAGGAUUUAUUCUUCCUUCAUAUUUACAAUAUAUCUACAGCUGUAGCCUUCAAUGCCCCAAUGCUUAGGACAGAAUUACUAUAUAGCCACCCCCUUUUGGAAAUAUUCAUUUUACUUAUUUACCCAGCUACUACAGUCUUUCUGACCCACUUAGAAUUUACAAUCUAACUAUCUAUUACAUUUAUACAGCCCAAUUGGAGCUACCAAAUGAUAUUACAUUUGUACAGGCCAAUUUGAGCAACCAAAUGAUACAGGUACGACUGGUGAAACCAUUUAAUCAAUAGCAACCGGAAACAAAUCCCAGCCGGCAACCUUUGAACUAGCUGCUCCUAUACUGGGGUCUGCAGUCUGCACUUGCCUUGUCACUUCAGUUAGCAUUUAAAAUUCUCUUCAAAAAAACCACUCUUUUCCGCCCUAGCUUUCCUUGUAGCCCACAAUCCUUUGGAAGAGAAUGAUGCACUUUAUCUUUGCCUAUCAUGGUGUCAAACUUUCCCCUAUCCCCGCAUGGAUAAAAGCUGCUAUUGCAUAUAUAAACUCACGUCUGCCUCCUCGCUUACACUAGAAAGCAUUUUGCGAGUAGAGUGCAAACUGUCUUUGUGUUUACGCUUCUGAUGCUUGACAAUGUAGGUUCACCAAGAACAUGAACAUGAACCCUUGGAAAAACAAGCUUGUGUGAAGGAUAUGUGCAAUAAUUAAAAAUGUGUUAACCAAUGUCGAAAAACCUCCUGCAUAUUGUGCACAAGUUUCUUCUGUCAACCCUAAUUUUUUUUUGAACUAAACUUCAAAUAGUAAUAAGUAAUUCUGUUUCAAAUUUCAUUGUAGUCUAACCAUGUCAUUUCCAAAAGGAGCAAGAUCAACUGAAGCUCCACUAGCUAGCCAUCAAACAAGCUACGGUACGCGCACAGUCAUUCCUCAAUGGCUGACAAGUUGGCUUUCCCUAAUCUCUCCUCCUCCGUUGUUGCCUUUUAGAAUUUUACCACUGUUUAGAUGGAAGUUUUGAUGCUCCCUGUGGAUAUUUGAUUUAUCAUAGCGCCAACUCAUGAAAGGAAUCCUCAUGCUAUUACUUUUUCUCCUGUAACAAACUAAUUAAGUUGGUCUAUUAGGUUCUUAGAUUUGCUGUCACUAAACAGUAUGUAUAUCUCUUGCAGGUCAUUCCGACUUCGUUUAAAUAUUUUCUCUAUUUUGAAUAUUGAUAUUUGCACCUGUUUCAAUGAUCCUGAGCUAUCCAUGUCUUGAAGGCAUAUGAUACAAUGACAGUAAACUGAGUGGGUUACAUUAGUAUCUAGAUAAAAAAUGUGGUUCCUAUCUAUUCUAGGCAAUAAUAUUGAAUGGUAUGUUUUAAUUAAACACUCAAAAUACAGAGUAAACAUGCUACUGAUUGAGUAGAUGGCAGCAACAUUGCUUUGCCUGUGAGAUAAUCUUUUAAUAUUAAUUAUAAUGCAACAAUGGUACUUUUACCUCUUAUGUCCGCAGGCCACCUAUUUUUCCUCCUGAUCUUCCAAGUUGGUAGCUUUGUUGUUCUACAAGCUGACACUGAUAAGGAUGCAAGAAAGACAAUGCCUGAUGCCUGUUGUUGAUAAUCUAAGUUCGAUAUAAUGUGCUUUCUCUAAUGCUCCUGCUGUCUAUUUUAUAUUACAGAAGGAUGAAUAUUCUGCACUCUAAGUUGGGCUCCAGAUCAUGUUAAUGGCUCACCGCUGCCGGUAGCAGCAUCAAACAAUAGGAUCAUUCGGUCCAUCAAUUAUUACAUCCUGGAGCUUGUGAAUCUGAAUUUUUUUUCCUUGUGUUUAUACAUAGAUUGGACCUUGACAGGACAUGAACAAGUACAUUUUGUUUUCUUCAUGUUCACAUUUCGAUCAAUGAAUAAGGAUAGUUGUUUUCUCUAUGUUCA